rnacentral:lncRNA from 1 species
GCACACCCAGCCGGCCCCGGCGGUGGGGCAGCGGCGCGGGGCGCGCACGGCCCCUUUAAAUUCCAGCUGUGCGGCGGGGGGCAGCACCGCUGGCGGCGCGGCGCGGCGCGGGCUGGGGCCGGGGCCGGCUGCCGGUGCGCGGCGGCGGGGAGCGCGCAACCUGCGCCCGGGGGAGGUAGCGGCUCCGGCGCCGCGGUCCCUCGCGGAGGCGGAGAGGAUGAGGGUGGCUUCUGGCUGCUUUUUUUGCCUCCUCGAGAUGAUUUCCAUAGUAACCUGAUCGAGCGGUGCAAUUUCGGAAACUGGGGUGGCUUUAUUAUUAUUAUUAUUAUUAUUUUUAUUUUUUUUCCAUUUUUUUCUCCGCUUCUUCCCUCCCACCUCGUCGGCCCCCGAGGAGUGACAGGCGGCAGGUUCACAGUCAGAAUGUGACCUUACAUAAAAUGGAAACCUGUGAAGAAAGUCACAGAUAGCAGCUGUGGGUAGUACUGGAAGAAUAUUUAUCUUCUUAAGCAUCAGCUUUUUAAAACGCUAUGGUGAUUUGGAAAGUCCCAAGAGUGAACUGUGAAGUUUUCUUCAGCUCGUUCAAUGGAUUUCUUAGGCAUUUCUACAAAUCAUUGAUGUCUAGAGAUGAUGUGUGAUGGAAAAAGCACCCUGCCUGUGCGUUUAUAGCCCCUGUUUUUUGGAUUAGUUUGCUGCAUUGCUGAACCAAUUUUGUUUUGAGGGCAAGGAGUGAAUGUGAUGGAUUUAUCUUCAGAGAUGAACAAACAUGGAAGGAAUCCAGUAAGUCACAAACUAGAAGAUCAAAAAAAGUUCCACCGUGCUGUAGGAAGCAAUGUAGAUAGUCAGAUGGGGUGAAAUCUUUCUGAUGUGACCUCUGAAUACACGUCUUGUGUUGAGAAAUAUUUGACUGAGAAACGUGGUAAGAAGAACAUGAUUUCUGUGCAUGGUUUGCCAAUGAUAGGUUCAGUAAAAUAAGAACUCCGCCGUAAAUUCUCAUAAAUUUCCUGUGAGGGUGAUGAGACACUGGAUGAGUGUCUCAUCCAGAGAGGCUGUGGAUGCCCCCUCCCUGGAAGCACUCAAGGCCAGGCUGGGUGGGGCUGUGAGCAACCUGGCCUAGAGGGAGGUGUCCCUGCCUAUAGCAGGGGGUUGGAACCAGGUGAUCUUAAGGGUCCCUUCCAACCCAAACCGUUCUAUGAUUAUGUGGAAAAAAAAAGUAUAGAGAAGCUACAACCGCAUGUUUUUUAGAUUCCUCAGCAUCUGAACUUUGAACUUUCUAACAGAAUAUAUAGAACCCAAUGUUGUAGUGAUUUAAUUGAAAGGAUAUAGUUUGGUUCCUGUUAUGCAUUAAGUGAUUGCUCUGACAGCUAUUCCAUUUAAGGUUGAUAGCUCCAGUCAUUUCUAACACUUUGACUGUAGACCAUCCCUCCAUAGGAGUACUAUGCUAAUGCUGAGCUUCAAACUUUUACUUCCUAAUUUGCUUCUGAACAAAGUCAUCUCCAUAGCAAAAUUUAUGUGAUGAGUCCAACAAGAGCAGCCCGACAGGUAGAAAGUCUUCACCUCACCUUUUGUACUAAUUUCAUUCUCUGUAAAUUAGACAGCUGAUUUAAACUGCAAGAUGUCAAGACAAAAUUUGAUUCACACCAGUUUUAUGUUUUGUAACUGCAGCAGUUUCAGUGAUGCCGCUACUGAUGCCAAGAUCUCUUGGUGCAGACUGGGGAGAGUCAGAGGAUAGAUGAUAGAUGAUGCAGACAUAGGAAAUGUUUAUCUGCAAAUAUAUUUUCAAUAGCUUUUAAAUAAAUAAAUAGGUAAAUAAAUGCAAGAUUGAUUUUCCAUAGGGAAAUUUCACAACAAACUCUUGAUUUCACCUAUGUGAACAUAACUUCAUUUUAGCUGAUUACAUAUUUUAAUACAAUUGAUGUGUGGUUGGAUUGUAAAUAAAUAGAAACCUCUAAUUAAUGGAAUUUACAUGAGAUGUAGGUGUGUGAUAUGAUAGACUGUAACAAACAUUUUGCUGAUUACACUAAAUAUCUGAUACAUAUUUUAUAUUAGUGAUGCAUUACAUUAGGUUUUGAUUAGACUUAAUGAGAUUUACUUGAAGUCUCCGACAGUACUCAAAUUACAUCAAAAAUUACAGAAAUGGAAUAAAAUGAAAAUACUCUCCUUCAGUUUGGUUGAAGUGGCCUUAAUUUAUAUUAUUAUUCAGCCCAUUGAGUUCUUUGAAGAAUAUCCAAGCUGUUUCCACACUUAUUUUUAUAGGGAUGUGGUUUAAAUAAAAGAACUAUUGAAACUGUUCUUGUAUGCAGCCACAUACAUUGUCAUUACUGGCAGAAUAUCAUCCCAUUCCUUUGAAAUUAGAAAUGUUUGUCAGCUAUAACAGGUUUCAGAUAUGUUUCUCUGUGAAUUCUAAUUAACACAUUAUGUUUAACGGGCUGCCCUGAAGCCUUUGCCUUAUUUUUAUAAUGAUUAUUUCUAGCGGAUUCAAAGCCACCAUGUAUGAGUUUUGCUAAAAAACAUCUGAUUUUUCUGUCUCAGCCUUCAUUUUUUACAGUUUUUGUUAUUUGAAGCUCCAGUCGAUCAGUGCUACUUGUGCCAGAGAAUUAUUGCAUGGAGAGACAAUUGUAGCCCAAUUUUAUCUCUAGAAUCUCUAGAAUUGAAAAGAAAAGAAAAAAAAGCACAAAAAAGUCCCAAUAAAAUGCAUCAGACAAGUGGUAGGAGAACAUUAAUGUCUUCAGUCCCAUAGCAGUCUAACUGCCAAAUCAGCAAGAGAUGCUGCUGUCCUGACUUGCAGAUUGGAUCCAGCUGGCUGCCCACCAGCAUUGGCAGACAGUGAGUUUUAAGCAGGAUGCUUCUGGUGCUGUUAUCCCAGCUUUCUUUCCAACCACACUGUCUUCACACAGCUAACCGGGCAGGUCACUCUUUUGGGACUGAUCUCUCUUUUGGACAUAAAAGUGGUUUCAGGUCCCUGGCCGGUGUUCUUUUAUCAGAGGAGAGGACUUUGUGUUGGGUUGCCUGACAGAUGCACAUCCGAUGUGACAGUGAAAGAACUGGGUCUGGGAGACAUUGCAUCUGGCAGAAUCUGCUGGUUUACAGGUCAAGAAACAGUCCAUUCAAGGACACUACCAGCCAGCGACUUUCACUAAUCCAACAUACAGAUCAUGUUGGAAGGGUUCUGCAAAUUUUUUUCUCACCUCAGAUUUACAUGAUGCUCUUCAUAGCUUUUACACCUUGAAAUUUAACUGUGGGGUUGAGAUUUUUUUGUCUUGGAGAGA